GAUGAACGCUGGCGGCGUGCCUAAUACAUGCAAGUCGAGCGAACAGACGAGGAGCUUGCUCCUCUGACGUUAGCGGCGGACGGGUGAGUAACACGUGGAUAACCUACCUAUAAGACGGGGAUAACUUCGGGAAACCGGAGCUAAUACCGGAUAAUAGAUUGAACAGGAUGGUUCAAUAAGGAAAGAGGGGUUGGAUGGCACUGAGAGAUGGAACCGCGCCGGAUUAGCUAGUGGGUAAGGUAACGGCUUACCAAGGCAACGAUGCGUCGCCGACCUGAGAGGGUGAUCGGCCACCCUGGAGCUGAGACACGGUCCAUACUCCUACGGGAGGCAGCAGUCGGGAAUCUUCCGCAAUGGGCGAAAGCCUGACGCAGCAACGCCGCGUGAGUGAUGAAGGUCUUCGGUUCGUAAAACUCUGUUAUUAGGGAAGAACAACUGUGUCCGUAACUAUGCACGUCUUGACGGUACCUAAUCAGAAAGCCACGGCUAACUACGUG
rnacentral:rRNA from 1 species